CCUACACAAGCUUUCCCCGAGCCACUUUUUCUGGGUUAGUGGCUUCGUCCAACACAUUAACUUUCUCUCGGUAACGGCAGGUCACUCUAUAGCUACUUGAGGUCCUAAUAUUGGCCCCUCUGCCCAGGCAUCGACGGCGCCAUAUGCUCGUGCUGGGUGAGUCCGUUGCGCCGUGAAUGAAGCCAGCCCGCCGGAAGACUCCUUGACGAGACCCGCCGUUGUGCCGCGCUCCGCUACGCUACCCAGACGGGAUCUCCUCUUCCUGAAACCAUGCAACGCCCAGGCAACGCGACCUCAACCCUCGACCUUUCUGCACCAUCCCAUUGGCCGGGGGUUCGAUGCCCUGGACUGACCCUGGAGACAAGAACGCGAAUGGUGUUGGUUCCUGGCUCCUGAUGCUUCGUCCCUUAAAGACAAAGAAUUGGACCCAAACCCUGAUGCUCUGCCUGCCAACGAGUACCCAUCAACCCACCUGUACCUGAGACGAUCGUUAAUCAUGGACAUACGGGCAACAGACCGUCAAACAACAACAACAACAGCAACAACGUCACUCAAUCGCCUAUCGAGUUUAUGAAGACCAGGAAGAAAAAAAUACAAGAGAGAAGACAGGGACAAAGACAGGGAUGAAGAAAGUCCGUGAAUGGGAAGACUCAUCACAAGAAUUACCGCCACAACAAGUUUGAUGAUAUCCUAUACACAAGCAGCCAAUGCAGGGUGGUUGAACCUUUUCCUGUUGGCCCCAGCAGAAGCAAACGGGCAACAGUGGGGAAAGAAGAGGCGAAGAGAUAGAAAGUCUUGUAUAUAGAUGCAGCUGACAGCAUCUCAUUAGGAGGUCAUCAGAACACACAUCAUGUUAAAUAAACCACUGAUGAAGGAAAUGUAGUCAAGAAAAAAAUAUACUGAACACUCAUGGGUUGAUUGCAUAGAAUUUAAGUGAAAUUUAUAGCCUUGGUGUUGUGUUGGUCAGGCAGGUGGUACCAAUGGCCAGAGUUUGCCCAUUGGUGCCCACCUGACCAGCACACCGUGUCAGUAGACUUUGCUGCAAUUCUAUUCUAUCGACACAAGGGUAUUCGUUACUUUUUUUUCCCGCCUGUACAAGUGGAUGCACGGGUCAGCAAAAUGUCACAGCCAACCUGCCAUGUUGUAGGUGAUGUUUCAUCAUUACAUUAACAUUUAAUCUGCUUCUGCUCAGGUAGGGUCGAGAUGCAGAAGUAUUCCAUCUGUGUGAUAUUUAACCCGGUAGCAGCGGGGAUCGUGUUUCUUAAUGGUCCCUCUAAGCGAGAAAAAAAUGAGAAAAAAUCACCCCUCACACAAACCAUUUCAUAAUAUAUAUCAAAGCAUUUGUGAUCAGUUUAUGUAUCAUCUGUUUUUUGGGGUUUAAAUCAUGGCACAAAUUUGGCCCAUUGCUGCUACACGGUAAAGCCACAAAUUUGGCCCGUCGCUGCUACCGGGUAAUUAUUUGGAACACUCACAUGUGCCCAUGCAUCACGUAUAUUUCUGAGCAGUUAAGGCGCAGCAUUUUGACGACUCGUGUGUCCUGACCAAUAGUUGAGUGGCUGCAGUCAGGAUCAAAUCAUUCUGUUUAAAAAUAUUUCAAGGGCAUACAUACUCUACCCAUACUCUACCCAAGGUCUGUAGCAUCCAAGGUCUACUCACUUGCUCUGGCAGGCUGAGCUGUCAUGUCACGCGUCCCUUGCCAACCAAAGAGUCCUCCUCCACAUGUCUUGCUCUCUCACCCAAGAUUAUGAAGUUAUCAAAAUGUUUAGAAAAACUGACACAACCGUAAUCUAAAUGACACUUCCACUUGUCCUUAGAAAAAUGUUAUGAAGAUUAUGGUUGGGUUAGUUCUUCUAAACAUCCUGUGGUUAUUUCAUAAUCUUGGGUGAGGGUACAAGACAGGUGGAGGACUCUUGAGUUUGUGAGGGACGAUUGACCCCACACCUCAGCCUCCCAGAUUGUUAACAACUUGAUCCUGUCCAUAUAUAUAUACUCUCUCUCUCUCUCUCUCUCUCUCUCUCUCUCUCUCUCUCUCUCUCUCUCUCUCUCUCUCUCUCUCAGUAUGUCCCCACACAGUAUGUUUACUAACCACACAGUCACAUGCCCCCCCUAGUCACAUACGAGGCUUCCAGAAUACAAAGGGCAAACACAACAGAUUUAACUUGCCCUCUUCAACUACUCUCUUCACUAACAAAGACACUAUCUCAAGGCAUAGAAGAAAGGAGUGUACUUUUGGUGGCAUUUAACACCUCAUUUUCUUUUGGUAACAAGUUUGCCCUUUCUAUUAUGGAUGCCUCAUGUUUCUCUCUCCCUCUCUAUCACAUAAGUCUAAGGUCAUAUCAACAUCACAGGAGGAGUCAGUCACUAAGUGGUCUGCAAUUAGUCGUCUUGAGAUGGCAAAAGUGAAGAGUCGUCAGAAUCUACUGCGUCUUUACUCUUGUCAUUGUUUCUGUUUUUGCUUCACAUACAUUAAAGGCAAGACUUAACAGCAAUGAAAAGAGAGGAACAACAGAUUCUCGUAACUCCCCACUUUCACCGUCUCCAGACAACUGAUUGCAGACUACACACACAACCUCCCUAUGUGAUGUUAACUAGUUAUACUUAGACCUGUAGACAGAGAGGGCUUUGUCUCAUAACUCCCCACUUUCACCGUUUCCAGACAACUCAUUGCAGACCACACACACAACCUCCCUAUGUGAUGUUAACUGGUUAGACUUAGAUUUAGACAGAGAGGGCUUUGUCACAGACCCAUGCUAUGAUUACAACCCCCAGCUACGUAAAGAACUAUGCUUUGUGAGUAAUCAAACCCAAGACCUCUUUUCCAACAACCUUGUACAGCUUCAUCUCCUGUAAAGCACUCUAGUGACAGUUAAACACAAUGUAGAAAUGACUAUAGUGACAGCAGAUUGGCAAGAUUGUGUUCGUAUUUGCUUCCACGGGUCCUUUCCUCCCUGCCGCUAUGCCACACAGUCCCAACACCUAUCUCCUCCUCUGAUGUGUUGGCUAUAGGUGACAUAUGAGAGGAAAAGAUAGGUGUUGGGACUGUGUGGUAGAGCAGUGGGGAGGAAAGGACCCAAGGGAGCAUACACAAAAACGUUCUCGCCAAUCGUGUUUCACUACAGUAUAACAUUUUGGGUUCAAGAAGAGGACAAUCAAAGGAUGGCUAUUAUGCUGCUGGGGAGAGAUGACCUCACCUCUCUUGGCAUGCAGAACAGCCACCCUCGGCCUGUCCUAUCCUUGGACUGAAGCAUGUCGGUGUCACUUGUGUGCUUUACAGUGGCCGGGCAGUACAGGACUGUGUAAAACUAAGUGUUAUUACUACUGUCCAGGCCAAACUAAUGUUCCCAUGUAUUUAUCUUUAAAAUAAAAUCAAGCAAAUGGCUAUGGAGUAAUUAUUUACCUUCUAUUUGUUACUUGUAAUGAGAGUUUUAGUGGUCUACAUUAACCACACUCCUAUUUCUAGCUGGCAACUCUGUCUAGGAUGCUUUAAAAAACGUUCUCUGUGAAAGUGCAGCAGCCUCAGCUCACCAGUCUCUCACACGUUCCUUAGGCAGCCUGCCAUCUCCACACUAGUUUUACUUCUAUCCUCUGUGCACACCUAUAGCACAGAUUUAUUUCAUCAUUGAAACAAAAAUAAACAGGAAACGGGAGGGCGUAUGUGAGUGAGAUAGAGGGAGGGAGUGUAAGAGGAUGACCUCCACUGAAAUGGAGGGAUAGGGUGCAGGAGUACGCUAGGGAAAGGGGGGAAAGAUCCUUGAGAAACGUUGAGCAGGCAAGGAGGGAGUGUAUGAAUAGAGAGAAAGAUGGAAACUCUUCUGCUGUGGCCAUCCCCUGGUAGGAGCUCCUAGGAGCACUCUAUGAACCACUUUUACACAUUUAUGUCUACAUCCAACGUACAGUUUCCUGGUUAAAAAUAUGGUAAUGGAAUAAUGAUGCAAGAGUGCCAAGAUAAAAGUAAUUGGAAUGCGGAAUUUGAGUAAACAAAGGUGAAAUACAGUUUAAAAGCUGCUUGGUUUCUGAGUUUGUGAUAACCGACAGUUUUUAGCAAGGGAGAACUUCAAAAACAGCCACCAGACUCUUAACAACCCCUUCAAAAAUCAGCGUAAAAGCUGCCACUGGUUUCUAAGUUCAUACUGACCAACAAUUUUAAGUAAGAGAGAACUUCAAAUACAGCAAAUAGACUCUCGUACGCCACUGUGGCCUUUGCAGAACACAGAACCCAGCUGCUCAACACUAUAUCAUGACCCUCUCCUUAGCUUAGUGCUGCAGCCUACACAGAGACACAGAGAAGCCUACGCUGCCAAUCUUAUAAACACCAAGAUAUAAAAAGUCACCUGUGUCGGCAACCAUUAAGUUCACUACUUCAUGUUUACUCCAAAAACAGGUCUGGCUGGAAAUGAUCUUACUGCUUACAUGCUACUUUUGUGAUUAUAUUUUGUUUCAUCUUUCUAGCUAUAUCAUUUAGCUGGAAUGUGUUAUUUAUUUAUCUUUCAAUGUAUCUUUGCUUCUAAUCUACAAGUAGUUUAAGUUUAGGUACAAAGAAAGUGAGUAAGAAAUAGCUUUAUCUUUUUAGUUUAGCAUUUAGCUGGAAUGUGUUAUUUAUUUAUCUUUCAAUGUAUCUUUGCUUCUAAUCUACAAGUAGUUUAAGUUUAGGUACAAAGAAAGUGAGUAAGAAAUAGCUUUAUCUUUCUGGUUUAGCAUUUAGUUGGAAUGUGUUAUUUAUUUAUCUUUCAAUGUAUCUUUGCUUCUGAUCUACAAGGAGUUUAAGUUUAGGUGCAAAGAAAGUGAGUAAGAAAUAGCUUUAUCUUUCUGGUUUAGCAUUUAGCUAGAAUGUUUUAUUUAUCCAUCUUUCAAUGUAUCUUUGCUUCUAAUCUACAAGUAGUUUAAGUUUAGGUACAAAGAAAGUGAGUAAGAAAUGGCUUUAUCUUUCUGGUUUAGCAUUUAGUUGGAAUGUUUUAUUUAUUUAUCUUUCAAUGUAUCUUUGCUUCUAAUCUACAAGUAGUUAAGUUUAGGUGCAAAGAAAGUGAGUAAAGAAAUAGCUUUAUCUUUUUAGUUUAGCAUUUAGCUGGAAUGUUUUAUUUAUCUUUUACUGUACAUUUGCUUUUACUAGAGUAGGUUAAGUUUUAGAUACAAAGCAAGUCGAGAAAGAAGUGUUAUUUGUCAUUCUAAUCUUUAUCUCUACUGUAACACCCACCAGCGCUACCACCUUACAAAAUACACAACAAGCAGCUAUAUGAUGGAUGACUACCCGGUGGCCUUCUCAAGACUCCAAACAGGCUCUUCAGUGCAAGCUAGACACUAAGACAC